GAUGAACGCUGGCGGCGUGCCUAAUACAUGCAAGUCGAGCGAACAGACGAGGAGCUUGCUCCUCUGACGUUAGCGGCGGACGGGUGAGUAACACGUGGAUAACCUACCUAUAAGACUGGGAUAACUUCGGGAAACCGGAGCUAAUACCGGAUAAUAUAUUGAACCGCAUGGUUCAAUAGUGAAAGACGGUUUUGCUGUCACUUAUAGAAGGAUCCGCGCCGCAUUAGCUAGUUGGUAAGGUAACGGCUUACCAAGGCAACGAUGCGUAGCCGACCUGAGAGGGUGAUCGGCCACACCGGAACUGAGACACGGUCCAGACUCCUACGGGAGGCAGCAGUAGGGAAUCUUCCGCAAUGGGCGAAAGCCUGACGGAGCAACGCCGCGUGAGUGAUGAAGGUCUUCGGAUCGUAAAACUCUGUUAUUAGGGAAGAACAAAUGUGUAAGUAACUAUGCACGUCUUGACGGUACCUAAUCAGAAAGCCACGGCUAACUACGUG
rnacentral:rRNA from 1 species